GGAUACGCUCUAGGCAUCAUGAUCCAGGGACGCGUCUUCACAAUUAUGGCAAGAGCUUAAUUGAAGAUAGACGUUGCACAGGAUAUGGAAACUAGGCUUGAUUUAUGGGCGGCUAUUUAGGCUAGAUUGUAUCUCAUUUCUAAAGGGAUCCCAAUGGAAGAAAAUCCUAGAGCUUUCAGGAUUAAGGGGUAAUGAGCUGAAUAUUAGUUUAACUACCUAAAAUAGGUCACCUACACACGUAUAAAUACCACUCUUCCUCAUUCGGAAGAACACACACGACAUACAACGCAACUCUCACACACUUAGACACCAAAAGCAAUAGUGAUCCUUGUACUCAGCUCAUUAUCAUCCAAAGUUGUAACCAUUUUAUUCUUAUAUUGAAGUUUGGUGAUCGGUAGUUGCCAUCACCCGAGGUUUUUUAUGCCGGAGAUCAUAU
rnacentral:lncRNA from 1 species